rnacentral:ncRNA from 1 species
GUAGAGUAGGCAGCUGCGCGUUAAGUGCUAUGUGUACGGGAUGUUGACCAUGGACGAAGCACCGGGGAUGUAAGGUGCGCGGUGCACUGCCGCUUCCGCUA